ensembl:lncRNA
UUCCCUUACGGUGCAGCGGGUUAAGGAUCCGCAGUUGUCACCGUGGCCGCCCGGGUCACUGCUGUGGCUCGGGUUCCAUCUCUGGAAGCCACAUGCUGUGCUUGCAGCCAACAAAAGCUAGUGACAAUGGCCAAUUCUUUAAUUAAUUCCACCUGCUUUAAAACUGGAAGUACGAAUGUGAGAAGUAUAUCAUUAUAAAAGUUUAUAAUGAUUUAAAUAUUUGGUGGAUUACAGUGAAAAGCAGGCUCUGAGCCCGGGACAGACGCAAGACCUCCUGGAGCCUGGAAGGCAAAGCUCAAACCCACAGGCACAACUGGCCUGGGGACGCCUCCCGGGCCCGAGGCAGGCAGCUCCCCCGUGGGGCCCCUGCUCCUGGAAGGUGGCAUCGGGCCACACAGGAGACCCCGCCUGACGCAGAGACCCCGCCAAGGGCGGGGACUCGCCCUCCGAGGUCCCCCCGCAGCAGCUGACAGAUUCAAGGACAAGCGUAGUCCUGAGGGUGAGGCACAUGCCCCGGUCCGUGUCGCCCCCCCUUCCCAGAGGACCCCAAGCUCGAGGUCAGGGGGGCCGUCUGUCCGCUGAGACGGUGCCCCUGACACCUAACACAGAGCCUGGCACAGACUACGGCUCGGAAGCACCUGCGGAAUCCACGGACACGAGAAAGGACGCGUGUCCGAGGAGACGCGCGAGCAAAGGAACCCACAAGGGAACUUUGAUCUGGAGCAAGGCAGAGGCAGGUGUGUCCCCAGGGCAGGCCACCCAGCCAGAGUCCACCCCGCGGGGGGCUCCGAGGUGGCUGAGUGUGUAACCUUACCAUUGUGAGCGGUGCCUCCCACGGCCACCGCACGGCAGACGUGUCCCCAAGGCCAGCCGGCCCUGCCCGCAGAUCUUGCUACGAGCCGGAUGCGGGCAAGGGUCGCGGUGUGAGGGGCUGGGAAGGAGAGGAGGUCCCUGCCCCCAGACUGCUGCCAGGAGACACGAACCCGGGCCAAAAACAGGCCCCAGUGGGCCACCUGGUCUUCUUCUAGAACACAAACUCCUGGGGCCACAAGACUUCCUCCCCGGGAGUCCAAGGCCUGCAUGUCAAGCUGUGUCCCUCCGGCUCUGCGGCCAGCGGACCCUGCUGGCCCAAUCCCCCUCCCCUCCUGGCCUGGCCCCCUAGUCUGGCCCUGCCGGCUUCUCUGCAUCGUGACCCUACCCUGGGCAGUGCUACCCCAGGGCUAAGAAUCCCCCUCUUACUAAGCAAUGAGCCCCCGCGAUCCCAUCUCUGCCGCUCUCUGAGCAGCGGGGCGUUAAAUCGCUGAUCCCAGGGUGGAAGCUGACUUGUGCGAAGGCGGCCUGAGGACGCUGGCACGGUGAGAAGGAGAGGCCGGGAGGAAGCCCUCAUCGGCUAGGCAGCCCGCCCGAGCUACUCGCAAUCACAGAAGCCUUCCCUCUGGCCGCUGGGAAAGGCCUGCCUCGUGCAUCUGACUUUCCAAAGAAACACUGCAGCACAAGCCGUCUCCGGCUCUGCUCUCGGGGCGGGGCCCCCAGCCGGGGCCUGCUCUGAUUUAUAACUAGCACAGCACCUGCUCUGGAAAGAUGCUCAGACACCCCGGGUCUCUAGGCAGCGCCCCCCGGGGCUCCUGGAUGCCCAAGAAGAGGGACCAGCCCAGCUGCCCCAGGCCUGGCCCUGGCUGCGCCCCACGGCCCACAACACCCACCCCCUCCCCAGCCCCAGAACAGCCUCCCCUCCCAGCCUGCUUCCUUUCUGAUUUUUCAGGCCUGGGCAGGACUACGCUCUCAGAGGGGGGCUUCUGGACCCCCCUCUGGAUGCAGCUCACAACCCGCGUUGCAGCGCCCCCAUCGCAGAGCCCCCACCGCAAGCCCGUGUGGAAUUCACUCUCCUCUCAGGGUUUCUUACUGGCUAAAACCAGGUGUGAUUUCUGCUUCUCUGGGGCCGGGUCUAGCUCGCUUCUCCGUCCAAGCCCAGGAAGAGAACACUAAACGCAGGGCCGGGGGUGAGAGGGAGACUCCCCGCGGCCAGACGAACAACGACCGACCAGGGAGACCCAGGCCCGGGGGGUCGGGAGGCCAGACCUGGUCUCGGGGGACGGGAGACCUCAGGGCUCGGCCGCCGUCAAGCUCACAGCUCUGCUCACCGGCCGCUGGAGGCAGAGGAGGGAGGCAGGUGGCAUCGAACUCUCCGAGGUUAUAGGAGAAAAACACCUCCAGGGAAGCGACCGACUGAAUCAGGAGCAGGAAAAAUCCUAGAGGUUCCAGGCAGCGGCCCGGCAGAAUCGGCAACAGGGCCCGACGCCGGCCAGACUCCGCAGCCCUUCCUGCGACCAAGAACAAGAAGCCAGGCCGCGAGCUGCCCCAGGCCGGGAUCCUAAGUCCCCAGCGUCGGGACCGGUGCCGACACGGGACCAGCACCUCAGUAAGUGUUUCUAAAAUAACUUUAUGUUUUAUUCUGUGCCUUCUGCGUGGUAAGCGUUUUAUACGCAAAGUCGACCCUGGGCAGCCAGGACUCCUGAAGUGAGACAGGCAGGCAGGGAGGGCAGAGCGAGGCCUUGACCCAGCUCGCUCAACACCUGGCCCCGGGCCUCCCGCAAAGCCAGUCAUCAUGACCCCGCCUGCCAGGCCAGACAGGCAGGGCUCAGCCACUGCGGUCCCAGUAAGCCUCUCAAUAGCCCCCUGCGCACCACGGAGCAGCCAAUCGCUGCCCCAAAGGGUGACGUCGCCGAGUGUGGGGGCUGCAGCCACCGCCUGGCAACUGGGAUCCCAACCCAGAUCCUUCUCAGCUUUGAGCAAGAGGCUCUCGGGGUGCAGCCCACAGCCUCCCCCCAAGGGAGACAGGCUGUCAUGGAAGCUGGAAUAACUCACUACAAAUCUCAGGAUGCCCUCAAAGAAACGGCACGUAAUCCAUGGCUUCUGCUGUUUCAGGACAACCAGGGGCCCCGUCGCCUGUCGCCUGCCAAACCAGCCUGGGACUCGCGGCUGGCAGGUCCGCUCUGUCUGGGCUUCGCUUUCCCCACUGAUUUAAGCAGAUGACACAGCUGGGUUGUGUGAAAAAUCUAAAAUGUCUUCAGUCAUCGGAAUAAAUAUUAAUGUGAUGUUACGUUCUGAUGGCUUUCCACAGUUUAUAAAACCUUUCUGCACUGAUCAUCUUAUGUAUCC